rnacentral:rRNA from 3 species
AGUAAUUAUUUUUAUAGUAUUAAUAAAUGAAGGGUGGAAUAACAUGUGUACAUAUUGCCCGUCGCUCUCGUUAUUUUUGAGAUAAGUCGUAACAUAGUUGAUGAACUGGAAAGUGUAUCUUUUU